AACGAACGCUGGCGGCAGGCUUAACACAUGCAAGUCGAGCGAGACCUUCGGGUCUAGCGGCGGACGGGUGAGUAACGCGUGGGAACGUGCCCUUCUCUACGGAAUAGCCCCGGGAAACUGGGAGUAAUACCGUAUACGCCCUUUGGAGGAAAGAUUUAUCGGAGAAGGAUCGGCCCGCGUUGGAUUAGGUAGUUGGUGGGGUAAUGGCCCACCAAGCCGACGAUCCAUAGCUGGUUUGAGAGGAUGAUCAGCCACACUGGGACUGAGACACGGCCCAGACUCCUACGGGAGGCAGCAGUGGGGAAUCUUAGACAAUGGGGGCAACCCUGAUCUAGCCAUACCGCGUGAGUGAUGAAGGCCUUGGGGUUGUAAAGCUCUUUCAGCUGGGAAGAUAAUGACGGUACCAGCAGAAGAAGCCCCGGCUAACUCCGUG
rnacentral:rRNA from 1 species